rnacentral:tRNA from 1 species
GCCCGAAUGACGGAAUAGGCAGACGCACGGGACUUAAAAUCCUGUGGGGAGUACUCCCCGUGCCGGUUCGACUCCGGCCUCGGGCA